AUUGCGAGUUGCUCCGAGAUGCCAAGGACCAACAAUUGAAGCUAAGGUCAUGGUUAAGUGAAUCGCAAUCGCUGUACGAAAGAUAUUUAGACUACUGCGUGGCGUCUGAGGUGAGGAAGUGUGCCUUAUCGCGUCUGUAUCAGUAUCUAUACAAUGACUGUACAGAAGCAGCUGCCCUUCGCUAUUCGCAUCCACGUCGGCAUCAUCAAUACAUAACGCUACAUAGCUGCGAACAAGCAUUAUGUUGAGCAUUCAUUUUUUUUUUUUUCAGAAAUCAUGAGAACAGAGUGCGCUUUUUUCAAGAGUAACAUAGUCCGUAGAACCAAGGCUCUAAAGGAAUAAGGAAUAAGCAUUUCAUUUUCUCUAACAGCGUAAGUCUGUGGUCCGGGUGUCUACUGUCUCAGCCUCGGUGAGCAAGAUAUACGCUUUACUGAAACGCAAAUGCUAAGCUUCCCACAGGUAAAAAGAAUUGAUAUGGUUGAAACAAAUGCGUCGGUCUCAGUAAUAACCUUUUCUUUUCUGCCACACAUUACGCGUUGAACAGGCUGACAACAGACCCCGUGACGCCAAAGUGAACAACUGCAGCUGACCAGCUGAUAGACGUCAAUGGACGCGUGAUUCUUUGUACGAACAUUACAUGGGGGGCCUACAAGCCAGCAAGAGCCUUAUGCGAAAGCAGGUUCGAUCGAGGGCCGACAACUCGGCUGCGCCUCGCGGAUCCAACCCGAGCAGCUGUUCACAGCAGCGAAGCCGCAAGCUACAGGAAUCAGUGAAGACGUCGCCUUUGAGAGGUGGUUGCUCAGGAAUAACACGAUGUGUGCUGCGAAGAAAAGCAAGCUCUGCAGCAAAGGGCGUUGUCCGAUCGGAUAAACAGCUCUGUGUUCGUUCGCAUAUGCCAUCGAGAAAACUGGUUUAACGUCUGUAAAUAUAAGAUGUGCCUCGCUGGGCCGCACCACACUAGGAAAUGCGCCAGACCAGCGCCACGUUCGCCAUACCCGGGGGACGAUCGCACCCGUCGCCAAUCUGCCACCGUUGA